AGCGCGGAGGGAUACAACGCACGGGGAGGAGGGGCUGAGAAGGGGCAGCGGCGAUUCGCGGCGGCGGCGGGCCUGGAAGUUACCGAGUUGCAGUGUUGCAGAAAAGGGAAGCGAACGAAGCCAAAAUGCCCCUGGGGAGUGCGGCCCCGCUGGGGAGGCGGGCUGAGGAAGCCUGGCCCUCCUCUCAGCCCCCCUCCUCCACCCGCUGAGGCUCCCCUAGCCCCGUAACCAGGCCCCUCCCGGGCGCGAGGCUCCGGCAGCCCCGGGCUCUUUCGGCGCUCGGCGGGGCCUUGGGGUGCGGCGGGUUUGGCAUCUGCGCGAGCGAUGGCAAAAGGAGUGUUGUCAACGCGAGGACAAGCGAAGGAUGAUGAUGCCUGCAACCUAUGGCUGGACUGGAGGUAAUUCACUAGUGGAUCAAUAACGUACCGAAGGUUCCUGAAAGGCUGCAACAUUGUACAGGGCCUGAUUAGAGAUUAAAACAUUGGUUUAUUUAAUGCUUGUUAGCUUGACGAUACCGAGUAAACGUUCUGAUUCGUGCUGUAUCUUUU